UGCAAAUUCCACGUGUGAUUCAUAGAGGAAGAUGUCAGUUUUUCAAAAGCACACAUGAGUCUGAGAGCUGCUUCAGGUCCAGACUGAGCCGCUGCGGGAAACCGGCUCUUCUCUUAGCAUCCAAAGGCAGAACCCAGAGACCUGGCUCAGACAGUGCUCACCCACCUCCUGCAGUGUGAUUACCACUUUCCAUUCUUUCUAGCAUGAGUGGAAGAAACUUGUCAUGCUACAGAACCAGAUCUGCAAAACUCAUCCAGUUCAAGUAGAGUUUUCCAUGAACACCAAUGGGCAUCAGACCAAGCCACAGAGGACAGAAAAAAGCUUCAAAUAUGAGCAGAGCUCAGCAAAUCGCAGAGCACCUCUUCCCAAACAUCUGCCAAACUUUUGAUGCCUCCAUUCAGUGUGUGCUUGUGCCAUCUUAAAGUGGAAAACUAGAGAAACUUCAAGUCCAAGUCAGGUGGCAUCACCCAAAAGGCCACGGUGCAGAACUGACAGUCCCACGGAUGGAUUUUUCCUGUGCUGAUGCUGAGCUCAGCUGACGUGCAGUACUGCUGUACUUCUUCCUUCCUGCGUUGGAGGAAAAUUCCACUGGUUGAAAGAGAGAAAACACUUUUUUUUCUCCAUUAAAUACAACUUGAAGUAUUCCUAACUAUAAAGCUGUUCAGAAAAUACAUUUUCUCAAGAAAAUGUCAAUGAAAAUAUAAAUUUUUUUUUCCUUCCAUUCAUAUUUUCCAUGCAAAUAUUAGUCUUCAGAGUUAAAUCAACACAUGUACUCAUAUACAUGCUUGUUGAUUUGAACAUGUCUCCUGUCAUCCCCUCUUCUCUACAACCCAAACUUGGCAUAAUAUUCUGCAACAGCCCUGCACUGCUGGCAUGGGGAAGGGGUUUCUCAAAAUACUCAGUCAACAGCUCCACUCUGUUACAAAGGAAAUGAUAAUGUCCCACAAAACCUGUUGCUCUGGCAGUUUUAUCCCUCUGAAAGACGCUUUUUUAGGGAAGGUACUAAUGAGGCCAUAUAGAUUCAUUCUGUGUAGAAGCUGAUUCAGAAUAGAGAGAUUCAGGAAACCCACACUGAGCAUUCACGAUUCCAGCUCAGAGCCUAGAGUGGUGUUGCAUGUUUGAACAUCCCUCCAAAUAUUCAGAGGCCAUGGAUGUGGGAUUGGAAAGGCCUCUGAAGUCAUCAAGUUCAGCCACUGCUGCUGUAAAUGAAUACAGAAGAAUAUGUUCAGGAAGCAGGGAGGGCGCUGCUCUGAGGCUGUUCUCUUUAGAAAGCUUGAGUUCAUCUGACUGGAAUCACCAAGCAAACCUUCAGGAGUCCCUUUACUUCCCCCAUUGCAAAGGAAACUAUUUCAGGCUCAUGGACUGCAUUUGUAACGGCACCCUGCAGACUUCACACAUCCUGGAGAAGCUGAUCCAACGCAUUACUUCUCUCCUUUUGUUUUUCAGUCUUACAGCCCUCGCCUGGUUAUGAUUCACUCUCUCAGGAGGAAAUGAAAGUCAGCAGCUGUUGACUUUUUAGCCAGAGAGGAAUACAGUUUAUGGAGCAAAAAGUCCAACAGGAACAGAAGUGGGCUGAACAAUAAACCAAUUUCAGAUGGAAAUAAACAAAGGAACAAAACCAUCAGCAGCUGAGAGCAACAGGAUCUCUGAGCUUCAGUUUGUUAUUUGUCCAUUGCAGGGUUACAAGCCAAAUGAGUGUUUAUAUGGACAUGGACUGCUAUAAGAAAACAGCCUGGAAAAUACUCUAAUGGUAACAACGCCGUGCAUUUGUGUUUCACUUCAGUCUGUGUCCAGGCAUAACAAAGAUCAUUUCCAAAAGCAAAAUAGGAACUGGAUAAAAAUUACAAAAUGGACUCAUUUGCAGUCUGUGAAUGAGCAGUAGGAUAGCAAAGGGGAAUACAGCAACCUUUGAAUAGGUGUGGGACUUUUACCAGUGCCCCAAAACUGAGGGAUAGAGAAUCAAGCAUUUCUUACUCCUUAUUUCCCCUUUCCUAAGCCUUCAUGUCCUGAUGGAAUUGUUAACUCACCACAUCCUGCCAGGUGUAAAUGCUGCCAUGGUACCAUUACUGUUCUGAGAUGCAAGUUUGAGAGGCCAGCUUCCUUCACAUAAGGGUUACCAGUUCAGAAUAAGGCCAACAGAGAUGGAAGUUGCUUUCUUCAUAACGACUGUUUGGAAUGAAGCCUACCUACCCACCUACAGUGGAUAAGCUGCUUGUGUGCACUUGUUAGACAGCAAACUAUGGGGAACCUGAGCAGACAAAACUGUGAAAGAUGAAUCAAAGAAAAUCACCUACUGGUUUAGUCUUUACAGCUCUAAAAACUAUUGCUUCUGAGUGUUGAGAUAAGGGAAGAGUAACUUCUUGGAUGCCAUCAAUGGAUAUUUUAUUGUUAAAAAGCAAUAUAAUGUAGCUAUCAAACUGAAAAGUACCCCACAGACCUACUGGAAAUAUCCUGUGCAUGUUUAAGUGCGUGCAAAGCAAGCAGUGAUGAUUCCACAUCUAACCCUGUCCAAUUUUGAUGUUGGCAUCCAAGUGACAGCUGCCUCGCGGGGCUUAUUGCAUGAGGGAAUGUCACCUGUCCACACUCCUGAUUUGUCCAAGGCACCACAGGCAGGCACUUGCUCUUAGCCUGUGUACGCACCACCUCACACUUUAUUGCUUGUCACCCAGUAACAGUGACGUGCUCCCUGUUCCCAUCAGCUCUAAAGAACAGGUUAAUCGCAGAGGUCAGCCUCCAGGUUAGUGCAACCAGUGGUGAGCAGGGCUCAGCCUUCACAUCUCUGCCAUCACCACAGGCAAGUGCUGCCUCAGCUAAGGCUUCUGCUUUCUUGUUACCAACUGGAGAAGCGAAACAGAUUCCUUUGCUCUUAGCACCUGAUUUAUAGAGAGAGGAAAGUCACUGAAAUCAUGACUGCAGUAGAUCAGCCAUGAGAUUAGCGAGACAUAUCUGACAUGUAAGUCAGCCAGCGGCAGCCCACCCAGGUGUCUGCCACAGUAAUGCUGAGCUGUGGCAUCCUGUGUAGUGUCAGGAAAGAGAAAGAUGGGAUUUGUAAGUUGGGAAUAGGGCUCUGGGAGAUGCCUGUAGCAGGAGACUUGUAAGUGAUACAGCAGAAGGUUGGCAGUUUGUGUGGGCUGAAAACAUACUAAGACUCUUAAUUUUUCUUAGCAUCCUUCCCACUUCCCACAGGUUCCUUUCCUUAGAUUUCACUUCGUUCCCUGCCUCAGUGGGAGACACCACUCAGUCACUGUCUGCAGCUCUGGAGCUGCAAGAGAAGCUCGGGUGGUUUUCUUCCUUGAACUGCCUCAUUCAGAGUAAGAAGGAUAGUGGCAAAUCCAGUCGCUGUAGAUCCAGAAGUAAAUCAGGCAUAGUGCCUCUAUUCAGUUUGAAGUUUGGAAAAUGCUCUCAGCAGAAUUUCUGCAUUGACUGUUGCUAUUUCAGAAAAUCUAUGCAAAUUCUGAGAAAAUAGAUAGAACUAGUAAUGGAAAAAUACUAAUAAAGGAACUCUUUCAGAUCUAACUUGGCCUAAAAUUUAGUCUGGGGGUUUAGUCUGGGGUUGCACCAUCCAAAACAUCCUUGAGCCUCCCAGGAGAACAUUUCAAGGACACUUUUAGCAGACUUGUGAUCACAAAGGGGAAAAAAACCCAACACCCUAAGUAUGUGAAUUAUUUAUCUCCGACAGUAUUUUUAGAGAGAAGAGGUUAAAAUAAACUUUAUCUGUAGGAAACCUCAGCCUGAUUGGAAACCUCUCCGUAUAUUUGGAGUCCUGUUUAAUAAGCCAUCCGGACAGAGGGAGCAUUCUUCUGUAAAGCCCGUUUGGCUCAGAAGCCUGCAGCAAGAGCUGAGCAGGCAAAUCCCACGGCAGGGGAGAGACAGCACUUUUUGACCCAAACAAUGUCUAGACAGCCUGAAAACAGAUAAAUUAACAGGCAAGCAGCAGCGGCAUCACACAGCAGCAAAGCGGUGGAUAUUUGUCACCUCAGUGAUGGGUUAAAUGAAGAUUCAAGGCCUCGGUAUAGUCUUUAUGAAACACAAUGUACUCCAGCUGUCUCCCUCCCUCCUCCUGAGCUAUUUACUGUGUUAACAGCUCCAUGCAGAAAGUUCACAUUCACUGACAUGGUAAACAUUUCCCAUCUUUUACAGGCUGCCCUAAUGAGGCAGCGGGAUCAGAACAAAUUAGUGGCAGAAUUCCCCCCAUCUCCGAGCACACGGUGUAGGAGCAAACGUCCUUUACAUCUCAUGCACCCUGUAAGAAGCUGCUCUUGGCUCCUAAUGCGGCAAUUCGUGGCAAAUGAGGAAGUGGCUGUUCAGCCUAACGGUGUAACAAUACUUUUAAAUGCAAUUCCUGGUUGAGGAUGCUGCGUUCGCUUUACAGACUGGUUGCCCCGUUUGAGAAAACACGUCUCUGACUAUAUAUAGCAGGGUCUGAAAAAUACAUUUCGCUACUAAAAGAAGCACGAAUCGUUUCAGAUGACACUUUGGGUAGAAAAGAGAUGUGAAUUCAUCCACUGUGUUUACUGAAAAUUAUACACACACAAAUUACCUUAAUGAGAUGCAAACCUUGUCGUUUGCAUUUAGUGCACCACUAACAAAAUUCUGGUAGCUGCAAUGAUAGUAUAUUUAGCAUACAGAAAAUAAAUAAUUUGUUACAUCAAUGCUGUCAAAAUGAAACAAGCCAAACUGUGAUUAAAGCAGUUAUCAUUAAACCAGAGGCUGACUUCCAGAGCUGUUGUGAAAACAGCAAAAGAAGCAAUUUUCCUAAGUGCAUUUCAAGUGAUUGAGUAAAAAUUGAACUUAUGGUAGACGAUGUUAUAGAAUACUACUUAAAGUGUUUGGAUGAUGAUACUUCAUAACACGGAAGCCUUCGUGCAGUACAAUUUAAAUCCUUUUUUUUUUUAUUAUUUGCAGCAGAGCUUGAAAGCAUAUUAAAGAUUGAGAGACUUUCCGUGUGAAUCAGCUCUCCCAUUCUCAAAUAUGACAGCGAGGAAGUUCUGUCUGUGUGAGAUUCCUUCUGUAUGCAGAGGGAUGUACAGGAGAGCGGCAGGGCUCCCUGUAGCAUGCAAGAUGCAUGUCCUGGCUCUUGCCAAGCAGUAUUCCGCACAUCUUCAGUAUGGCAGGAGUUGUAAACAUGUUGUAUAAUCACCUAACUGGGCUGUGACCCAUUUGUAAGCAGUGCAGGAAAAAUACAUCAAAGUCACAGAUAGUCUCCUCAGACAGGCCUCGACAGAUACCCAUCUGGUAAUAACCUCGGACUGGGAAGGAUGGAUGAUUUAUAAAGGUGUUAAGAAAUAAAAGUCUGCUUUCUAUACAUACAGAAACCCUGGUGUAAACUCCCUACUGAUUAACUUCGAAGUACCAGGAAAAGAAAAGGAAAAAUAAUUGCAUUGUUUUAGAAACAGUAGAGAACUGAAUGAUGUGCAGUGAGAGACUGCAGCCAUAUCAGAGGCUCUGAGCACUGGUAGCCCUGAGAUCUGCUGUCUGUUAAGCAUAUGUGAGACUAUAGUAUAGCAGCCCCAAACAAUAACUGCCCUUAACUGACAGUCACUCCCUUGUAUUUAAGUGUGGUUGUCAUUCAUCACAAGUGAAGAAGCUCUGCUUGUCACUGAAGGAGCUUGGGACUGGAUGCCCUUGUGUCCCUGCAGCUAGGCAGAGACUGAAGCAAGUGCAUCACUUUCCAAAUGUAUUGCACAUUCCAGAAUGCAUUAUUAAAAGCAAAGAAACCUCAUUUCUCAGUGUAGUAUCUCAUUUUUAUGCAAGGCAUAUACAAGUAAAGAAAGGUACUCCCAUUCUUGAAAGCCUGUAGUCUCAGUAUCUUCUUAAUAACAUAGGCAGGUCUGAUCACUGAAAGCUGAGUGCACACAGACACCCUUUCUUGUCAUGGGUUUUCUGUUUAUGUUCAUUGUUCUCCUUGGAGCCCUUUCCUUUCCCAAAGGUCUACUGCAUUUGGGGAGGAUGCAUCAUCGCUGGUAGACAUCUUCUGUGGUCUAGACUUAUAAGUUCUUACUCUGUUGUUAUAUUGCUCCACUAGAAGGUUUAUAAGUCACACUACUUGUCAAAGUUAUGAGGAUGCUGAAUCACUUUUAUUAGGCAUCAAAGUCUCCCCCUCACCCUUUCAUUUCUUUAACUGAAAGCUUCAUUAGAUUGCAAAAUGGCACCUCUGUGCUCAGACAGGCCUGUGGGCAAAUCAGUUUCUUUCCUUUGUUAAAUCUGAUUGAUUUAUUUCACAUAUAAAAUGAGCAGUAAAUGUUCAAGUUCUAAAAAGUUAUUUAACAAGUGUCUGAGCAGAAUGAAAAUAGCUUUCUAAAACAGUGCAAAUACUUAUCAUAAGCUUAUUAAAGAGACUCUCUUUAUUUUCGGAUGUUACCAAAUGCCCAUAAAUUCUUAGAUGUUCAGGUAGUCAGGCACUUGAGGAAGCUUGGGAUAAGAAUUAAUUAUGAGACAUGCUGCUCAAGAUGAGUUUUGCAGCAUUGAAGAAGGAGAAGGUCCCACUCUGCUUCCUUAGUGGCAGGGAAACAAUAGGUAGACAUGGAGGACUGCCAUGAGCCAGGCUACGAUGUCUCCCUCCAACCCAGUCGGCAGGUCAUGCACCCCAGGCAUCACUGCACCUCCAGAGGACUCAGACAGGAAUAUACAGAACUGGAGUCUGGCAGUGAAUCCAGGCAGUUUGUCAGAGAUAUCACUCAGACAAUAUUGUGUUCCUCUUAUUUAGCCACUUGGCACUUAGUGACUCAUAGAAGCUUAAUGAGAGGAGGCAGACACUUCCCCAGGGUGUCUCAUCCCACCUGGAGGAACAUGUCUUCUGCAGGAUGCUGUGUCUCUCUACCCCCAUUUGGGACAAGUGCUAGAAGUUCAGCCAUGGCUGCACUUAACCUGGGCAAAAGGUGAGACAGUUCCUGGAGGAGGGAAACACCUUUUAGAAGGGAGAAAGACAGAUGUGAACCUCGGGCUGAGCAGCAGCCUAGGGGGAUAGAACAAAACAGUGGUGGAGAUGCAAGUGACAGCUUAUAGGCUGGCAGACUGCAUCAGAGGCUUGGAGAAAAAAAACAACAAACCAGCAUAAAGUUGCAGGUGAGCAAAGGCUAGUUCCCAUUUCAUGCUAAUUUUGCUACAGACAGCCUGUCCUGCUGCCCAGCUCCAGGGCUACUGCGCUCAGAACCUGCUUAUUUUCUGAUUUCCUUUGAGCAUACAGUAAGAGGAGAGCAAAACCAAAUGGAGAGAGGUGUCUCAGAGGGGAGAAACAACUGAAGGAAAGAGAAAAAAAUCAGUUGAGGGAAAGUGGCAGAGGAGAUCUAGGGAUUAUGCACUGUAAAAAAAGCUAUGAGCAUAGACUUUCAUAGCAACUGAAGGGGAAAAUAUAAAAAGCACAACAAAAAGCCCUGUCUCCUGUGGUGAAACUUCACUGAAAUGUUAUUAAGGAUAAAUCUUUUAUUGUAUUGUCCUGCAGGCAGUCUGGUAAAAACUGUAUUCUCAGCAUAAAUGAACUCUCCCAUUAUAAAAUAGGAAAAAAUGUCUGCUUUCAGGACUGGCUCUGUGUAAUGGCUGCUCAGAUAUCCACUGGGGAUAUUUAGGAGCAGUAGCAAGUAGGAGUAGGCCCAGAUAUUUCCUGCUGAAAUAAGAAGGUCUUCUGAAUGAGCAGACACAUCAGAUGUGUUUGCAACCAGCUUCCCAUGGGCUACCAAAAGACUGUAGUUCACAUCAAGGAUUUAGCCCAGGGAGAGCAUUUAGUGAGGAAAUAACUCCCUCUGCUCCAUGAUUUGUCAGGAUCUCUUUUAAUUGGCUCUCUGGCUCAGAGAUAAGGAAAAACAGGGGCCAGGUUAGUCCUGGGGGAGUUACAGCAAGGACAGAUUUAACCCCAAAGUGAGAAAGGGUUUUCAAAUGGGAAAAAAAAAAAAAAAAAAAAAAAA